CUGGAAUUGGCGGUUUCCUGUUAAAAUUUGAAAGCACAUGAUGUGUACCACCAAUAAUCCUCAUCCUCCUCAGCCAUGAGUAAUGUGUACACAGUUUGUAUGAUGACUCGGGGAGGAUAAUGUACUUUCUACCAUUAACCCACCCCUCAUUGACUGCAGAAGUAGCAAACAGAGAGAGAAUUUCAGCUGUAUCUGUAACUCUCAGGAUGCUUCGGCAUCCUUCCUUAGCAAUAGCAAUAGAU